rnacentral:rRNA from 1 species
UACAGAGGGGGCAAGCGUUGUUCGGAAUUACUGGGCGUAAAGGGCGCGUAGGCGGCCUUCUAAGUCAGACGUGAAAUCCCCGGGCUCAACCCGGGAACUGCGUCUGAGACUGGAAGGCUCGAAUCCGGGAGAGGCUCGCGGAAUUCCCAGUGUAGAGGUGAAAUGCGUAGAUAUCUGGAGGAACACCGGUGGCGAAGGCGGCAUCCUGGACCAAUACUGACACUGAAAAGCGAAAGCCAGGGGAGCAAACGGG